UGGGGAAUUUUGGACAAUGGGCGAAAGCCUGAUCCAGCAAUGCCGCGUGUGUGAAGAAGGCCUUCGGGUUGUAAAGCACUUUUGUCCGGAAAGAAAUCCUUGGCUCUAAUACAGUCGGGGGAUGACGGUACCGGAAGAAUAAGCACCGGCUAACUACGUGCCAGCAGCCGCGGUAAUACGUAGGGUGCAAGCGUUAAUCGGAAUUACUGGGCGUAAAGCGUGCGCAGGCGGUUUGCUAAGACCGAUGUGAAAUCCCCGGGCUCAACCUGGGAACUGCAUUGGUGACUGGCAGGCUAGAGUAUGGCAGAGGGGGGUAGAAUUCCACGUGUAGCAGUGAAAUGCGUAGAGAUGUGGAGGAAUACCGAUGGCGAAGGCAGCCCCCUGGGCCAAUACUGACGCUCAUGCACGAAAGCGUGGGGAGCAAACAGGAUUAGAUACCCUGGUAGUCCACGCCCUAAACGAUGUCAACUAGUUGUUGGGGAUUCAUUUCCUUAGUAACGUAGCUAACGCGUGAAGUUGACCGCCUGUGGAGUACGGUCGCAAGAUUAAAACUUAAAGGAAUUGACGGGGUCAUAGCUGUUUCCU
rnacentral:rRNA from 1 species